rnacentral:rRNA from 1 species
AUUGAACGCUGGUGGCAUGCCUUACACAUGCAAGUCGAACGGCAGCACGGGUGCUUGCACUUGGUGGCGAGUGGCGCACGGGUGAGUAAUACAUCGGAACAUGUCCUGUAGGGGGGGAUAGCCCGGCGAAAGCCGGUUUAAUACCGCAUACGAUGUACGGGUGAAAGCGGGGGACCUUCGGCCCUCGCGCUCUAGGGUGGGCCGAUGGCUGAUUAGCUAGUUGGUGGGGUAAAGGCCUACCAAGGCGACGAUCAGUAGCUGGUCUGAGAGGACGACCAGUCACACUGGGACUGAGACACGGCCCAGACUCCUACGGGAGGCAGCAGUGGGGAAUUUUGGACAAUGGGCGAAAGCCUGAUCCAGCAAUGCCGCGUGUGUGAAGAAGGCCUUCGGGUUGUAAAGCACUUUUGUCCGGGAAGAAAUCCUUUGCCCUAAUACGGUCGGGGUUUGACGGUACCGGAAGAAUAAGCACCGGCUAACUACGUG